GUCUUGUAGAGGGGGGUAGAAUUCCAGGUGUAGCGGUGAUAUGCGUAGAGAUCAGGAGGAAUACCGGUGGCGAAGGCGGCCCCCUGGACAAAGACUGACGCUCAGGUGCGAAAGCGUGGGGAGCAAACAGGAUUAGAUACCCUGGUAGUCCACGCCGUAAACGAUGGCGAUUCGGAGGUUGUGCCCUAGAGGCGUGGCUUCCGGAGCUAACGCGUUAAAUCGACCGCCUGGGGAGUACGGCCGCAAGGUUAAAACUCAAAUGAAUUGACGGGGGCCCGCACAAGCGGUGGAGCAUGUGGUUUAAU
rnacentral:rRNA from 1 species